AUGGGCGCCGGGUUGUUUGGGUAUCUUGACAAAGCCAUUGAGCAACCUCCCAAAACCCUCAUGUCCAAGGACAAAGAAGGCAAGGAUCAUAUCUUGCCGAACCCCGCCUAUACUCACUGGCUUAUCCAAGAUCAACAAAUAGUCACAUACCUUCUUAGGAAUCUCUCCAAGGAAGUGCUCGUUCAGGUAGCGUCGCUGGAAACUUCGCACGCAAUCUGGACUGCCCUUGGGAACAUGUUCACUAUAGUUUCCCUCUCCUGCGCCAACAACAUCAGGGCCGCCCUCACCAACGCCUAG
rnacentral:rRNA from 1 species